CCAAAGGAAUUGUGGGAUACUGGAGGACCCCAAAGGAAUUGUGGGAUGCUGGAGGACCCCGGGGCAUUGUGGGAUGCAGGAGGACCCCAGAGGCAUUGUGGGAUGUUGGGGGACCCCAGGGGCAUUAUGGGAUGCGGGAGGACCCCAAAGGAAUUGUGGGAUGCUGGAGGACCCCAGGGGCAUUAUGGGAUGGUGGAGGACCCCAGGGGCAUUGUGGGAUUUUGGGGUGACCCCAGGGCAUUGUGGGAUACUGGAGGACCCCAAAGGAAUUGUGGGAUGGUGGAGGACCCCAGGGGCAUUAUGGGAUUUUGGGGUGACCCUGGGGGCAUUAUGGGAUGCGGGAGGACCCCAAGGGCACUGGCCUGGUGGAGCCCAGUGCCGAGCGCUCCCGGCUGAGCGCCCGCAGCCGCAGCCUCCAGCGCCGCCUCCAGGCCCUGACCCCGGAGGGGGGGGGGGACCCCUCCGCCGCCCCCCCCUCGCAGCAGCGCCAGGUACGGCCCUAAUUAGCGCUAAUUACCGCUAAUUAACAUCCUUACAGUGAAACCAGGGCGUUUUGCUAACGGGAGGGGCUUCCUUCGCCCCUUUCC
rnacentral:lncRNA from 1 species